UGAGGAAUAUUGGGCAGUGCCCGCAAGGGUGACCCAGCAACGCCGCGUGGAGGAUGAAUGUCGUAAGAUUGUAAACUCCUGUUAGAGGGGAAGAAUAGUACCGGUUGGACCGGUAUAUGACUGUACCCUCAGAGAAAGCCCCGGCUAACUACGUGCCAGCAGCCGCGGUAAUACGUAGGGGGCAAGCGUUGUCCGGAUUUACUGGGUGUAAAGGGCGCGCAGGCGGGAUAAAAAGUCAGUGGUGAAAUCCUACAGCUUAACUGUAGAACUGCCUUUGAUACUUUCAUUCUUGAGUUCGGGAGAGAGAGACGGAAUUCCAGGUGUAGUGGUGAAAUACGUAGAUAUCUGGAAGAACACCAGUUGCGAAGGCGGUCUCUUGGUCCGACACUGACGCUGAGGCGCGAAAGCGUGGGGAGCAAACA
rnacentral:rRNA from 1 species